ACUCCUCUCUGUGUGUGAAUGAAGAAUCAGAUCCAUCAGGGUUCCUUCAUUCUGUUCACCUGAGACCAGGACCAGCAAAGUUCUGCAGGAAACUGGACCUGUGGACAAACUGUUUUCUUUUUGACCUCUGUCACUUUCUGAAGGAUUACACAAAAACCACUGGACGGACCAGGAGGAAGGAUGUGGGUCAGGAAAGAACUGAUUAAAGUUGGUGUGGAUCCGGAUCCCGGGGCCGAUCCAGGAAUUUGUCUUUAUCACUCAGUUUCUCUGACAUUGUGAGAAGGAUGGUUUUCAACAGUUUGACUGAUUUAUCACAGAAUAAUAAACAGAUCGUGAUGAAUCAA